AAAUAGGCUUUAUUAAAAGCUAUAAACCUGAUCUUAGAAUAUGCUA
rfam:Equus caballus chromosome 3, whole genome shotgun sequence.